rnacentral:rRNA from 1 species
GUGGGGAAUAUUGGGCAAUGGGCGAAAGCCUGACCCAGCAACGCCGCGUGAAGGAAGAAGGUUUUCGGAUUGUAAACUUCUGUCCUCAGGGAAGAAGGAAGUGACGGUACCUGAGGAGGAAGCCCCGGCUAACUACGUGCCAGCAGCCGCGGUAAUACGUAGGGGGCGAGCGUUGUCCGGAAUGACUGGGCGUAAAGGGCGCGUAGACGGCUGUCUAAGUCUGGAGUGAAAGUCCUGCUUUCAAGGUGGGAAUUGCUUUGGAGACUGGAUGGCUUGAGUGCGGAAGAGGUAAGUGGAAUUCCCAGUGUAGCGGUGAAAUGCGUAGAGAUUGGGAAGAACACCAGUGGCGAAGGCGACUUACUGGGCCGUAACUGACGUUGAUGCGCGAAAGCGUGGGGAGCGAACAGGAUUAGAAACCCCGGUAGUCC